CCUACGGGAGGCAGCAGUGGGGAAUAUUGGGCAAUGGAGGAAACUCUGACCCAGCGACGCCGCGCGCGGGAUGAAGGCCUUCGGGUUGUAAACCGCUUUCAGCAGGGAAGAAGCGAAAGUGACGGUACCUGCAGAAGAAGCACCGGCUAACUAUGUGCCAGCAGCCGCGGUAAUACAUAGGGUGCAAGCGUUGUCCGGAAUUAUUGGGCGUAAAGAGCUCGUAGGUGGUUCGUCACGUCGGAUGUGAAAAUCUGGGGCUUAACCCCAGACCUGCAUUCGAUACGGGCGAGCUUGAGUAUGGUAGGGGAGUCUGGAAUUCCUGGUGUAGCGGUGGAAUGCGCAGAUAUCAGGAGGAACACCAAUGGCGAAGGCAGGACUCUGGGCCAUUACUGACACUGAGGAGCGAAAGCGUGGGGAGCGAACAGGAUUAGAUACCCUGGUAGUCCACGCCGUAAACGGUGGGCACUAGUUGUGGGGACCUUCCACGGUCUCUGCGACGCNGCUACGCAUAAGUGCCCGCCGUCGGGAGGUACGAGCGCGAGAAGUUAAACUACUUAAAUUAGUAAGUUAGUUACGGCGUUGAGACGUGCGAGGACGACGACGAGGGAGGAGG
rnacentral:rRNA from 1 species